GACGCCGCGGCCCCGCGUGGCUCUGUGCCCAUGGAGAUGGCCCCGCGCAGUUCUGGCUUCACGGGCUCCGGUCAGGAUCUCAGUGUGGGCGGCUGUCCAGAUUUGCCGACUACGCGCGUACUGACACCUCUCAUCCUCCAGGUCCAAUGCUAGCCAUGAGUCCAUGACGCUCCUGCUGCGCUGCAGCCAGCAGGUACAUCAAAGUGCAAACACGUGAAGUUGACAAAGUCUGCUCAUACUUACGGAGAAAGGAGACUACUGCUGUUCCGAUGCCCAAGUAGACAAAGUUCAGAACCGCCUGCAACAACGAGACGACGACAGGGUGAAAACUUAUUCCUGUGUUUGCUGUGUUACAGCAAUGUAAUGAUUGCAAAAUGUUAGACUAUUUAUGACAAAUCCACAACUACCAGAUGUGUUAACCUUUGUCUGAGCUUAGAAUACAAUAAGAUCUCGUACACUCCAAAAGAAUACUUAUUAAGAUAACCUGCAGUCCAGCUGUGAAUUCGGAGUUCUAAAGUUUAUACAUC